rnacentral:rRNA from 2 species
CUCACCAAGGCGACGAUCCCUAGCUGGUCUGAGAGGAUGAUCAGCCACACUGGAACUGAGACACGGUCCAGACUCCUACGGGAGGCAGCAGUGGGGAAUAUUGCACAAUGGGCGCAAGCCUGAUGCAGCCAUGCCGCGUGUGUGAAGAAGGCCUUCGGGUUGUAAAGCACUUUCAGUCGUGAGGAAGGUAGUGUAGUUAAUAGCUGCAUUAUUUGACGUUAGCGACAGAAGAAGCACCGGCUAACUCCGUGCCAGCAGCCGCGGUAAUACGGAGGGUGCGAGCGUUAAUCGGAAUUACUGGGCGUAAAGCGCAUGCAGGUGGUUUGUUAAGUCAGAUGUGAAAGCCCGGGGCUCAACCUCGGAAUAGCAUUUGAAACUGGCAGACUAGAGUACUGUAGAGGGGGGUAGAAUUUCAGGUGU